rnacentral:rRNA from 1 species
AGUUCGGAUUGAAGGCUGAAUUGCCUUCAUGAAGUCGGAAUUGCUAGUAAUGGCAGGUCAGCAUACUGCCGUGAAUACGUUCCCGGGCCUUGUACACACCGCCCGUCACACCAUGAGAGUUGGGAAUACCCGAAGCCUGUGAGCUAACUUUUAGAGGCAGCAGUCGAAGGUAGAAUCAAUGAUUGGGGUGAAGUCGUAACAAGGUAUC